rnacentral:tRNA from 1 species
GCUUAUAGCUCAGUGGAAAGAGCCCUAGAUUCCGAUUCUAGUUGUCGUGAGUUCGAUUCUCUCUAGG